rnacentral:lncRNA from 1 species
AAAGAAAGAAAGAAAGAAAGAAAGAAUAACGUUAAUAAUAUUAUUUGCCAAUUUUGUGGGUUUUGCAGAAUAACCUUGUCCGAUGAUAAGUAUCAAGUGAUCAAAUCACCAGGUGAUAUCAAUCUGAACAAUAAUCCUUAUAUCUACCUUGGAAGAUCAAAGAAUGGGGUAUACUGCGCAUCAAUUGAUCUCAAACAACAUCAGCGUCUUCAGGUUUGGCAGCUGCACGAACUGCAUGGUGGUGGUUACCACAUGGAGUGGAUGUUGAUACACGAUGUCAGUCUUGACCAGAUCAUGGCAGAUUUCCGCUGGAAUCCCGAAGCUGUUAGGCCAUGGAUCGAACAUGAUAUGUAUAGCGAUGACUCCAAGAAUGACAGAGAAAUAUCACAAGAGGAAUCUACUGGUUGGGACUCUGAGGAUGAUAGCAUCGUUUACACUGAAGAUAUGGCUCUGGAGAGGAGAUCGGACAAUCCUUUUCAUAUACUCCUUGUUGGAUUGGAGAUUUAUCCUGAAACAUUUUACUACUAA